rnacentral:tRNA from 1 species
UGCACUGUGGUGCAGUGGUUAGCACUCUUGCCUCACAGCAAGAAUAGCCCAGGUUCAAGUCCCGGCUGCAU